rnacentral:lncRNA from 1 species
UUGGGCCAGUCUCCCUUUCUCUUGAACACACAUGGUCAGAAGUUCAUUGAUUGACCAUUUGUCCUUAUGUGUGUUAUAGAAAAUUUUGAAAGGAUCAUAUUGUGGUGGGAGCGAGUUUAGGAUCAAGUACACCAAAAAAAAUUAGAAAUUUCAACCUCUAAGGACUUCAGUUGAGCUGAUAAGUCUCUCAUUUCUAUUAUAUGUUUUCUUACACUUUUGACUUCAGUGA